rnacentral:rRNA from 1 species
AUUGAACGCUGGCGGCAGGCCUAACACAUGCAAGUCGAGCGAGCGGCGGACGGGUGAGUAAUGUCUGGGAAACUGCCUGAUGGAGGGGGAUAACUACUGGAAACGGUAGCUAAUCCCGCAUACCAUCAGAUGUGCCCAGAUGGGAUGAGCUAGUAGGUGGGGUAACGGCUCACCCAGGCGACGAUCCCUAGCUGGUCUGCGAGGAUGACCAGCAACGCUGGAACUGAGACACGGUCCAGACGCCUGCGGAAGGCAGCAGUGGGUAAUAUUGCAAGAAGAGAGCAAGCCAGAUGCACCCAUGCCGCAUGUGUGAAGAAGGCCUUCGGGUUGUAAAGCACUUUCAGCGGGGAGUCGUUACCAGCAGAAGGAGCACCGGCUAACUCCGUGCCAGCAGCCGCGGUAAUAC